GCAACCAGAUGCACAGAGAGCACAGUCUGCAUCCGUGCAAGGUAGAGGACCAUACAGGGGGAAAAAUGUACAAAAAUCACAUGGAUCUACAUGGCUUUUUUUUUUAUGAUAGAUAUCUGAUAAGAGAGGCUAACAGAUGGGUACCGAUGGCAGGCACACUCUCCCUGAGCUCCGAUCUCAGCUUCGUCGAAACAGUGGAGUUGGAGUGAGGGAGGUGGAGGAAAAAAAAUCAGAAAACUUUUCUUCACGGGACAUUUAAAGGCAUGUGAAGAGGAAAGGAGGGCAGGAGGAGAGGGGUCUUUCUGAAAACUGCAUCAGUGCAUUAUUGCCUCUGAAAUCUGAGAUCUUAUUGGAUCUGAAGGGCAGUAUGAGGCAGCAUCAACCCCUGUUUUAAGGGAUUGCUUUCAUUCAGGGAAGGAGAGGCGAAAAACCCUUCUAGCAGAGCCCAGUCCGGCUCAGCUCCUCUCCUGGUGUGCCCGUCCGCCUCGUCUCUGCAGUGGCCGGAUGACCGGUCCUCUCGGGCUGACAUGCCGACAGCCAGACCGAUGGCUGUCCUGCACCAACGCUGGUGGACCAUGAUGCAGGAAGGAGCAGCCUAGUGGCCUCUGACAUUUGCUGUGGAGAUGAGAGGAUCUUGUUCUGCAGCUGUGAUCAAACUACAGGGUCUUGACCUGCCAAUUAAGGGAAACAGUCAAGUUCCUUUCUUGCCUGGGCGGACAGUGAGCUUCGCCUCCAGCAUCGUUUCUGUCUGUCAAGAUGUCUCUCCAAAAACCACAAACUGAUCUGGUUUCUCCUAGUGCUCUGCUUGGGGAUGUCUAGGCAACCAUCAGCUUGGAUGAGAAGAUUGUCCAUAAAUAACAGUAGUGCCUGCAAGUUGGAUUGGGAUUUGUCUUUGAGAUGUCCUUAUUCACCAAUUCCCAAUGAGACCAGGGACAUUUCCACCAUCAGCCAAGCCUCUGAAAGCCAUAUGUAUUUAAGUAAAAAUCCAAACAGAAAAAAAUUUCUUUGGAAUAAUCCGGUUAUCUUUUUUUUUAAGGCCCAUGAUAUGACCUGCUAUCAUAUCUACUGCAAAUCUCACAAAUUUAUGAAUUACACACUUUCUUAAACGGUUUGACUGGAGUUAAAAAGAAGGAUUUUUGUUGCAUCUAGAAAACAUGAACAUGUGCCAGUUUUGAAAAAUGUCCUCUGUAAAAGGCAAAUCCAAAUGUCAGAGAGACAGAUACUUUACACACAGAGAGUGUUACCCUCUGGGCAUCAAGCAGAAAAGCUUCAGAAUAAUAUUUUUUUCCCAGUUGGAGUGAACUGCAAUUACCCAUCAUCAGACAUAAAAGCAGAUCACUUGCACUCCUUCACCAUGGAGAUGAACUUGGUCACUGUUUUUAAAACAAUACAAAGAAGGCUAAGAAAAAAAGCAGUACCUCAUAACAAUGAAUUGUACUGAGUUCAGAUAUACCGAAUAAUGUCUCUAUGAUUAUUUAGAUUACAUAGUCCACUGGAAACGUAUUUAUGCACUUUCUAUAACACAAUGUAAAAAGUUGUCAUUUUUCUAUCACUCCUAUGGUGAAAAUGUUCACAAUCUUUGAAUUGUACUGUGUACCUUUAAUUUGCAACCAUUUAAAGUUUUAAAAAUUACAAAUGGGACCUCUUUAUUUGUUUGAAAAAUUGUCAUUUGUCAAACAAUUGUAAUUAGCGGCAUAAAUUGUAAUU